rnacentral:rRNA from 1 species
UACGGAGGAUCCAAGCGUUAUCCGGAAUCACUGGGCUUAAAGGGCGCGUAGGCGGGCCACCAAGUCCGGGGUGAAAUCCUCCAGCUCAACUGGAGAACUGCCUCGGAUACUGGAGGUCUCGAGGAUGAUAGGGGCAUGCGGAACUGUAGGUGGAGCGGUGAAAUGCGUUGAUAUCUACAGGAACUCCGGUGGCGAAGGCGGCAUGCUGGAUCAUUUCUGACGCUGAGGCGCGAAAGCCAGGGGAGCGAACGGG